rnacentral:misc_RNA from 1 species
UUUAGGGUAAGAGGACCUGGGAGGAUACCUUUGAGGAGCCACCCAAGUUCCACGCUUAUCUCUCCCCCUACCAGGAUCCCAAGCUGUCAAGGAGAACUAAUGGUUGCCAGUCAUAGAUAUAUAAUUUUAUUUUCCCUAACUUUUGAAUGGAUAUCUCGCGGAUUUUCUAAAAUAUGUUCAUUCAAAAUAUAGUCAAGAUAGUUCUUAGACAAAAAAUAAAUAUUGAGUAUUUCAGAAAAAAGUAAUAGACGACAUCCUCAGGAGUAUUAUCACAGUUUUAAAUAUGUCGUCUACCCUGAAGCCCUACUUGAACGCCGUGAAGAGGACCCUCGAGGCAGCCAUGUGCUUAGAGAACUUUAGCUCGCAGAAGGUCGAACGCCACAAUAAACCAGAAAUUGAGAUCCAGGAGUCCCCUGAACUAUUGCUGAACCCUGUCAUAGUUUCAAGGAAUGAGAAGGAAAGAGUUCUCAUCGAACCAUCGAUAAACUCGGUGCGUGUAUCUAUCUGUAUAAAGCAAGCAGAUGAGAUUGAGAAGUUACUCACCAACAAGUUUACCAAAUUUAUGAUGAGACGAGCAGAGAACUUUGUCAUUCUUAGGAGAAAAAAAAUCGAGGGUUAUGAUAUCAGUUUCCUGAUCACAAACUUCAACACGGAAGUCAUGCUUCGGCAUAAACUUGUAGAUUUCGUAAUUCACUUCAUGGAGGAGAUUGAUAAAGAGAUUUCCGAGAUGAAGCUGGCGGUCAAUUCACGAGCUAGGAUCUGUGCUGAGGAGUUCUUGAAACGUUUCUAAUCAAUUAAUCAAUUAAUUCAUCUUCCACGGUGUUCAGCAUCUGCCAUCAUAAAGGGAAAGAUUCCACAAUAGUCAUAAGUUGCCUUAAGCAAUUCAAUUUUACACUACAAAGAACUGACAACGUAAUUUCUAGUGACAUCUAAAUAUGAAGUUGCAAUCCCGAUUUACAAGUGUGCCCUUAUUACUUUUAUCUCAGUUUUAAGAUAAUAACUAUUUUGAACCAAAAAAAGGUCUUCAAUGUAUCAUUGUGAAUCCCGAUUUACAACGGUGCUCUUAUCACUUUUAUCUAUUUUAUUUAAGAUAAUAACUAUUUUGAACCAAAUAAAGGUCUUCAAGGUAUUAUUGUGAAUCCCGAUUUACAACGGUGCUCUUAUCACUUUUAUCUAUUUUAUUUAAGAUAAUAACUAUUUUGGACCAAAUAAAGGUCUUCAAGGUAUCAUUGUGAAUCCCGAUUUACAACGGUGCUCUUAUCACUUUUAUCUAUUUUAUUUAAGAUAAUAACUAUUUUGGACCAAAUAAGGGUCUUCAAGGUAUCAUUGUGAAUCCCGAUUUACAACGGUGCCCUUAUCAUUUUUAUCCCAAUUAUAAGAUAAUAACUAUUUUGAACCAAAUAAAGGUCUUCAAUGUAUCAUUGUGAAUCCCGAUUUACAACGGUGCUCUUAUCA